GCGCUUGAGAGAACUCGGGUGAAGGAACUAGGCAAAAUGGUGCCGUAACUUCGGGAGAAGGCACGCUGACAUGUAGGUGAAGCCCCUGCGGGUGGAGCUGAAGUCAGUCGAAGAUACCAGCUGGCUGCAACUGUUUAUUAAAAACACAGCACUGUGCAAACACGAAAGUGGACGUAUACGGUGUGACGCCUGCCCGGUGCCGGAAGGUUAAUUGAUGGGGUUAUCGCAAGAGAAGCUCCUGAUCGAAGCCCCGGUAAACGGCGGCCGUAACUAUAACGGUCCUAAGGUAGCGAAAUUCCUUGUCGGGUAAGUUCCGACCUGCACGAAUGGCGUAAUGAUGGCCAGGCUGUCUCCACCCGAGACUCAGUGAAAUUGAACUCGCUGUGAAGAUGCAGUGUACCCGCGGCAAGACGGAAAGACCCCGUGAACCUUUACUACAGCUUGACACUGAACAUUGAGCCUUGAUGUGUAGGAUAGGUGGGAGGCUUUGAAGCGUGGACGCCAGUCUGCGUGGAGCCAACCUUGAAAUACCACCCUUUAAUGUUUGAUGUUCUAACCUGGCGCCAUAAUCUGGCGUGGGGACAGUGUCUGGUGGGUAGUUUGACUGGGGCGGUCUCCUCCCAAAGUGUAACGGAGGAGCACGAAGGUCAGCUAAUCCUGGUCGGACAUCAGGAGGUUAGUGCAAUGGCAUAAGCUGGCUUGACUGCGAGAGUGACGGCUCGAGCAGGUGCGAAAGCAGGUCAUAGUGAUCCGGUGGUUCUGUAUGGAAGGGCCAUCGCUCAACGGAUAAAAGGUACUCCGGGGAUAACAGGCUGAUACCGCCCAAGAGUUCAUAUCGACGGCGGUGUUUGGCACCUCGAUGUCGGCUCAUCACAUCCUGGGGCUGAAGUAGGUCCCAAGGGUAUGGCUGUUCGCCAUUUAAAGUGGUACGCGAGCUGGGUUUAGAACGUCGUGAGACAGUUCGGUCCCUAUCUGCCGUGGGCGCUGGAGAAUUGAGGGGGGCUGCUCCCAGUACGAGAGGACCGGAGUGGACGCAUCACUGGUGUUCGGGUUGUCAUGCCAAUGGCACUGCCCGGUAGCUAAAUGCGGAAGAGAUAAGUGCUGAAAGCAUCUAAGCACGAAACUUGCCCCGAGAUGAGUUCUCCCUGAGACUAUAAGUCUCCUGAAGGAACGUUGAAGACGACGACGUUGAUAGGCCGGGUGUGUAAGCGCAGCGAUGCGUUGAGCUAACCGGUACUAAUGAACCGUGAGGCUUAACCUU
rnacentral:rRNA from 1 species